UACGGGGGGGGCAAGCGUUGCUCGGAAUCACUGGGCGUAAAGGGUGCGUAGGCGGGUCUUUAAGUCAGGGGUGAAAUCCUGGAGCUCAACUCCAGAACUGCCCUUGAUACUGAGGAUCUUGAGUUCGGGAAGAGGUGAGUGGAACUGCGAGUGUAGAGGUGAAAUUCGUAGAUAUUCGCAAGAACACCAGUGGCGAAGGCGGCUCACUGGCCCGAUACUGACGCUGAGGCACGAAAGCGUGGGGAGCAACAGGG
rnacentral:rRNA from 1 species